rnacentral:rRNA from 1 species
CCUACGAGUGGCAGCAGUAGGGAAUUUUCCACAAUGGACGAAAGUCUGAUGGAGCAACGCCGCGUGAGUGAAGAAUGGUUUCGGCUCGUAAAGCUCUGUUGGUAGUGAAGAAAGAUAGAGGUAGUAACUGGCCUUUAUUUGACGGUAAUUACUUAGAAAGUCACGGCUAACUACGUGCCAACAGCCGCGGUAAUACGUAGGUGGCAAGCGUUGUCCGGAUUUAUUGGGCGUAAAGCGCGUGCAGGCGGUUCAGUAAGUCUGAUGUGAAAGCUGUGGGCUCAACCGGGGAAUUGCAUCAGAAACUGUUGAACUUGAGUGCAGAAGAGGAGAGUGGAACUCCAGGUGUAGCGGUGGAAUGCGUAGAGAUAUGGAAGAACACCAGUGGCGAAGGCGGCUCUCUGGUCUGCAACUGACGCUGAGGCUCGAAAGCAUGGGUAGCGAACAGGAUUAGAUACCCGAGUAGUC